rnacentral:rRNA from 1 species
GAUGAACGCUGGCGGCGUGCCUAAUACAUGCAAGUCGAGCGAACGGACGAGAAGCUUGCUUCUCUGAUGUUAGCGGCGGACGGGUGAGUAACACGUGGAUAACCUACCUAUAAGACUGGGAUAACUUCGGGAAACCGUAGCUAGUACCGGAUAAUAUUUUGAACCGCAUGGUUCAAAAGUGAAAGACGGUCUUGCUGUCACUUAUAGAUGGAUCCGCGCUGCAUUAGCUAGUUGGUAAGGUAACGGCUUACCAAGGCAACGAUGCAUAGCCGACCUGAGAGGGUGAUCGGCCACACUGGAACUGAGACACGGUCCAGACUCCUACGGGAGGCAGCAGUAGGGAAUCUUCCGCAAUGGGCGAAAGCCUGACGGAGCAACGCUGCGUGAGUGAUGAAGGUCUUCGGAUCGUAAAACUCUGUUAUUAGGGAAGAACAUAUGUGUAAGUAACUGUGCACAUCUUGACGGUACCUAAUCAGAAAGCCACGGCUAACUACGUG